CUCUGGACCUCUAAACUGUGUCCUUUCUGCACUGGGGCUGCAACAUUAUGAACUAUAAUACAUACACACACACACACACACACACCAAUCACCUUUGCACAAAACACACACAAACAUGACACAUUUUGUUUUUAUUGAUGGUGCAAACCAGUGUUUCCCCCAAGAUUUUUUUUUUAUCAGCAUGGAAAGAUGUGAGAUUUUAGACUUAGAAACUGGAUGUUGGCUGGUCCUCCUUGUCUGUCUGAGAACAGGGGAUACACUAUACAGGGGAUACACUAUACACAAAUGCAUAAUACAAGUUGUUCUAGGACUGAAAAUACACUUGUUUUCACAGUUGUGUUUCCUGAAAAAGCUGGACAAUGAAUCACAACUCAUCAGUGACACUUACGGACCCAUCGUGAUAAUGAUGGCAGGUUCUGGUCAGGACUGUUACCUUCAAUAUUGCGACAUCAGAGCUCUUACAUGAGCACGAAAGUGAUGAAUGUACCAAAUAAGUGACUGAAUGUAUGGACCUCAAGCAACUCUGUUCGUGGGCCCUGAAGAAGAUUCCAGGGAAACACAAAGUGGAGAGUUGGAGGUGGAGGGAAAUCAAACGUGACACGGUAGCUUGAGGAACGAGGACGCGCUUCAUUCGAUGUUGGCACCGGAUUAGGCCUUGUAAACUGAAAGACACUGGCCUGGUGUCACCCAGAUACCUGGUCAGGGAGCAGUGUUGGGAUCUCUUUAGUGCCUCUUGGGUUCCCCUGACCAUAAAGUGAAAUUUCAUAAGGGAAGUGAUUUUAUUUCCUUGUAAAAAAGAUAGCGGUUUAAAUUCCCCAGACAGAUAUCAACACAAGGGGGCAGUAAGGUGUGCUGUCAUUACUCUGGCACCUUCAAAGCAAAGAGCCAGGGAUUUCCUCCUUUGUGAAUGACCUGACCAGGUGUGAUGAAGAUGAUGUUGUCAGGAACAAGCAGCAGCCUUUAGUGCUGUAUGGAUAUUAUACUUUAGAACGUUUGGCAUACAAGUCCAUGCCAGGCAAUAGUUCUGUCUAUAAAGCAUGUGAUAAAACAUUUCUCUAACUCUUAAGCGCACGACCCAAACCCUGAGGACCCUUUCACUCAGUCUCUCACACACUUUCUUACAUGCACACGAAAAUACACACAUACUCGUUUUCUAUGGGGUGCAUGCACGAUUACACCUACUGUACAGAGUCCUGUUGGAGCUACACCACAGGGGCUGGAAUAGUGCUAGUGAGCCCCACAUGUGACGGCGAGAUGUGGAGGCAGACUUUCAUAUCCCAGCCCCCCCUCUCCCAGUCCAAUACUGCAUGCGGGAUCCUCCCGGUCAGCUCUGUGAGCUGUGCUGGAGCAGAAACCCCCCUAGAUGGCGUUGUGUUAUAGCUCGAUAUUGCAUGCUGAAAUAGUGCAACACACUGUCCUUACUAGCUUUUUUUGCAUGAGGAUAUUGCUAUCCAUUCAGAAAAAGGUGUGAGGGAGACAAUUAGGUUGUGUGACUUUGGUUGUGGUGCUCACUUGAGGCAUGCAGCCUUAUGCUUACCUGGCACUGUCAUACCUUGAGUGUUAAGCUCAUGGGAACACUCUGGGAAUGGACAAUGUGCAAAUGCAAUAGUUUGUUUUCUCUAUGACAGUGUAAUGAAGAGUAUCUCGGCAGCAUGUUUCAAAAAAAUGUUACUUUCACAUGUGCGUGUCUGCCUAUCUUAGUAAUAGGUCGAUGGUUAUGGUUCAUUGCUCAUGAAUCAAUAGGGCUGUUUUGAUUUUGUGAAACGUGAGAGCACAUGUGCGUGUACCAUGUGUGUGGUCCUGUUUGUCUCUUUGUAUAUAAAUGUAUAUGUAUGUCUGUCCUGUUGUGUGUGUAUAAAUAUAUAUUUUGCACCGAAUGUACCAAAGGUUUGGGGCUUGCAAAGUCAACCAUUAGGCCUGCUCUCUAUUUCUGUCUAACAAACACAUCCCACUUCUGGCUUCUGCCAAAUCCUUACAGAGCAUCACCUCAUGUUUGCUUGAGGGGCAGAUUUGUGGCAUGGGCAACAACGCGUCACGUUAGGAUAUACAGUACAGUACAGUUUUAACGUUUUCCAUAAUGAGGCUUUUCUGCUGCAGAAGAUUGGUAAGAUUGAGUGCUUGCUUCACAUCCAAAUAAAGACAGGCUCCGGUUUUCAGAA